rnacentral:rRNA from 1 species
GACGAACGCUGGCGGCGUGCCUAAUACAUGCAAGUCGAACGCAGUGGGGACGGGUGAGUAACACGUGGUUAACCUCCCAUCAGAGGGGAUAACACUUGGAUACAGGUGCUUACGCGAUAAUGAUGGAUGGACCCGCGGUGAAUUAGCUAGUUGGUGAGGUAACGGCUCACCAAGGCCACGAUGCAUAGCCGGCCUGAGAGGGUGAUCGGCCAAACGGGGACUGAGACACGGUCCAGACUCCUACGGGAGUCAGCAGUAGGGAAUCUUGGGCAAUGGACGAAAGUCUGACCGAGCCACGCCGCGUGAGUGAAGAAGGUCUUCGGAUCGUAAAGCUCUGUUGUUAGGGAAGCGGUAUCUAACCAAAAAGCCACGGCUAACUCCGUGCCAGCCGCCGCGGUAAUUC